GAAUGGCACCACGAGGGUUAUACUGUCUCCUUUUUCCAAUCAGUGAAACUAAUCUCCCCGUGAAGAAGCGGGGAUGAAAAUAUAAGACGAGAAGACCCUAUGGAGCUUUAAACUUAAUAGCAAAUACUAUCAUUUAUUAAACUCUCAGAACAUAAACCUUUAUUUCAGUAUUAUGACUAUUAGUUUUAGGUUGGGGUGACCGCGGAGCAAAAAUUAACCUCCACAUUGAACGGGACUUAGCCCUGAGCAAAAAGCCACGACUUUAAGCACCAACAAAUUGACAUUAAUUGACCCAAUAUUUUGAUCAACGAACCAAGUUACCCUAGGGAUAACAGCGCAAUCCACUUCAAGAGCUCCUAUCGACAAGUGG
rnacentral:rRNA from 1 species